GAUGAAUGCUUUACAUAGUGAGAUUAGUUUGGAUGAUGUUCAGAAGUUGAUGGAUGAUACAGCUGAGGCAAAGGCUUUUCAGGAUGAAAUAAAUGCAGCUUUAGGAGAGCGCUUGUCCGAGGAAGACGAGGAAGAAGUCUUAGCAGAAUUUGAGAAUUUAGAAUCUGAGAUUACCCUUCAAUCGCUGCCGACAGUUCCUGCAACAUCAGAGCCAACGGUUCAGAAAGCCGAAAAGACCGCCGAAGAGCUUGAUGAGGAUCUCGACCUUCCUGAUGUGCCCACCAGGACUCCACCAGCACGCUCUGCGGUCGAUGAUGCCACAGAGAGUCGUUCUGACAGGGUGCCCACAAGGACAAAAGUUUUGGAGGAGCCAUUACCCGCAUGAUAAAGAGCAGUGCUGCAGCUAUGGUGCUACUGUCCCAGUU
rnacentral:misc_RNA from 1 species